rnacentral:rRNA from 1 species
AACGAACGCUGGCGGCAUGCCUAACACAUGCAAGUCGAACGAGACCUUCGGGUCUAGUGGCGCACGGGUGCGUAACGCGUGGGAACCUGCCCUUAGGUUCGGAAUAACUCCCCGAAAGGGGUGCUAAUACCGGAUAAUGUCUUCGGACCAAAGAUUUAUCGCCUUUGGAUGGGCCCGCGUUGGAUUAGCUAGUUGGUAGGGUAAAAGCCUACCAAGGCGACGAUCCAUAGCUGGUCUGAGAGGAUGAUCAGCCACACUGGGACUGAGACACGGCCCAGACUCCUACGGGAGGCAGCAGUGGGGAAUAUUGGACAAUGGGCGAAAGCCUGAUCCAGCAAUGCCGCGUGAGUGAUGAAGGCCUUAGGGUUGUAAAGCUCUUUUACCCGGGAUGAUACUGACAGUACCGGGAGAAUAAGCUCCGGCUAACUCCG